rnacentral:rRNA from 1 species
GACGAACGCUGGCGGCGUGCCUAAUACAUGCAAGUUGAGCGCUGAAGGUUGGUACUUGUACCGACUGGAUGAGCAGCGAACGGGUGAGUAACGCGUGGGGAAUCUGCCUUUGAGCGGGGGACAACAUUUGGAAACGAAUGCUAAUACCGCAUAAAAACUUUAAACACAAGUUUUAAGUUUGAAAGAUGCAAUUGCAUCACUCAAAGAUGAUCCCGCGUUGUAUUAGCUAGUUGGUGAGGUAAAGGCUCACCAAGGCGAUGAUACAUAGCCGACCUGAGAGGGUGAUCGGCCACAUUGUGACUGAGACACGGCCCAAACUCCUACGGGAGGCAGCAGUAGGGAAUCUUCGGCAAUGGACGAAAGUCUGACCGAGCAACGCCGCGUGAGUGAAGAAGGUUUUCGGAUCGUAAAACUCUGUUGGUAGAGAAGAACGUUGGUGAGAGUGGAAAGCUCAUCAAGUGACGGUAACUACCCAGAAAGGGACGGCUAACUACGUG